GACGAACGCUGGCGGCGUGCUUAACACAUGCAAGUCGUACGGUAAGGCCCUUUCGGGGGUCCACGAGUGGCGAACGGGUGAGUAACACGUGAGUAACCUGCCCACAACUUUGGGAUAACGCUAGGAAACUGGUGCUAAUACUGGAUAUGUGCUCCUGCUGCAUGGUGGGGGUUGGAAAGCUCCGGCGGUUGUGGAUGGACUCGCGGCCUAUCAGCUUGUUGGUGGGGUAGUGGCCUACCAAGGCGGCGACGAGUAGCCGGCCUGAGAGGGUGACCGGCCACAUUGGGACUGAGAUACGGCCCAGACUCCUACGGGAGGCAGCAGUGGGGAAUAUUGCACAAUGGGCGCAAGCCUGAUGCAGCAACGCCGCGUGCGGGAUGACGGCCUUCGGGUUGUAAACCGCUUUCAGCAGGGACGAAGCUUUUUGUGACGGUACCUGCAGAAGAAGCACCGGCUAACUACGUG
rnacentral:rRNA from 1 species